UUGGAUCCGACUAAUCCCGACGAUCGAUGCUCGACUACGUCCACGUAUCCAGAACGAACCACGUCGAUGCGAAUGAUGCAUGAUUCUAUCGAACCACCUGAAUGGGAGGAGACGCUCGAUUGUUUCCCGUCACGAUUAAUUUCAAAUAGAAUUAGAAAGGAUUCGAGCGUUCUGCGAAUGAAGAUUAUUCGAAAGGUACGAAAUUGUUCGAGUUUUUUGUGCUCGUUGCUCGUGAUUCUGGACAGCUGAGUAACGGGGAGAGAAGAAGCAGAUCGGGAAGAAGAAACAGAUGUUAAGUGUAAACGCUUGCGCUAAUUUCAACGGCAAAUACAUAGACGAUUGGACUUCCUCGCUAUAGACUCGCUGCUUGAUUACUGUGUAGUUGAAAAUGGCCCGUCUAAUUGAAACUGAAUAGACGAAGCGGGAGAAACGGAGGUAGAACGUCGAGAGGAAAUGUUUAACAGUUGAAUCUUUUUGCCGCGUUCCAAUUGCCUUGGAAACGAACGUGCCGAAAGGAAGUUGUUACGGGAUUACGUAUAAAAACCAGGAAGCGUGAAUCUCUCAGAUUUAUUUACGAAUUUGCCGAUUGAUGUUUGGCGAUAAGGAGGAACCGAUUAAAUUGCAGAAACGAUAAACAAGAAAAAGAGAAAGAUCGUUUGUUGAACGAAAGGAGCGUUCGACGUUGUAUUCGCCUAGAGCAGAGCGGUUGUUACGAAGAAUAAUAACUGUGGGAGCGUCGCCAAUAUAAUAUCUUUUAUACUACACGACUGGUUGUAGUAUUAAAUCCGCACAGGUUCCGACAGGUUGCCAACCACAAGCUUACUCCACAUGCGGACUCCACAUUUCUCCCAUGACAAAUUCAUGCAAGACAGCGUACAUCAAACCAUAACAUAUUCUCUCAACUACACAGGUCGAGCAGCUGCGACGUGAUACAAAAGAACGCGAUACUACCUGUCUAACGUGAGCGUGGGGUAAACGGUGAUCGGUAUUCGAGUCGUCAGAAACAAUGAUCGUUCUAUCUUGAAAUCGACUGCAGAUGGCUUCGUUUGUACAAUGUGUCAAUGAACUUGCGUGUAUACGGGCUAUAAAUUUUAGUUAGCAAGUUACGAAGAUAUUGUUGAUUAUGCAUAUGCAAGUUAGUUAGCGCUGAAAGGAUUGUAAAUGCUUUGUAUUCAACGAGUCAAAACUAGAUGAUAUAUCGCGAUCGUAAGUCAUGACGAACAAUACCAAUUAAUAAAUAUAUCUCUCGGUCGUAUAUUUUCAUAGAACGAAAUUAUACGAUAGAGUUACGUCUG